UAAGUAAAAGGAAAAUUAACU
rnacentral:piRNA from 1 species